UAGGCGUACAGGACGAACGCCUGGCGGCGUGCCUAACACAUGCAAGUCGAGCGAGGAGAGUCCUUCGGGAUGAUCCUAGCGGCGGACGGGUGAGUAACACGUGGGCAACCUGCCUCAUAGAGAGGAAUAGCCUUCCGAAAGGGAGAUUAAUACCUCAUAACAUUGCAGUUUCGCAUGGAACAGCAAUUAAAGGAGCAAUCCGCUAUGAGAUGGGCCCGCGGCGCAUUAGCUAGUUGGUGAGGUAACGGCUCACCAAGGCGACGAUGCGUAGCCGACCUGAGAGGGUGAUCGGCCACAAUGGGACUGAGACACGGCCCAGACUCCUACGGGAGGCAGCAGUGGGGAAUAUUGCACAAUGGGGGAAACCCUGAUGCCAGCAACGCCGCGUGAGUGAUGACGGCCUUCGGGUUGUAAAGCUCUGUCUUCAGGGACGAUAAUGACGGUACCUGAGGAGGAAGCCACGGCUAACUACGUGCCAGCCGCCGC
rnacentral:rRNA from 1 species